rnacentral:rRNA from 1 species
GUAAUGUAUGGGGAUCUGCCUGAUGGCGGGGGGUAACUACUGGAAACGGUAGCUAAUACCGCAUAAUGUCUGCGGACCAAAAGGGGGGACCUCCCGGGCCUCGCGCCAUCAGAUGAACCCAUAUGGGAUUAGCUAGUAGGUGAGGUAACGGCUUACCUAGGCGACGAUCCCUAGCUGGUCUGAGAGGAUGAUCAGCCACACUGGGACUGAGACACGGCCCAG